UGCAGCGAGGUCUACGAUAGUCACAACCCCGGAACACAACACAAGGUUGAAGAAGACAAAGGAACCUCUUAACAAUCAAUGUUACGGCUGAGUAACUGUUCUAAGUACUGUAUCUAAGGGGGUGAAUUUAAGUAGGACCAUCCUGUUAUUCUCUUCAAAUCAUCAAGUCCUACAGUGCUCUCAUCACCACUCUGGGGAUCAUCGACACGGCUGAUUAGCCAUCCUCAGGAGACCACUCUUCCAGAACGAGUGCAAGUAAACAGACAACUAAGAAGGACAUUGUGACCUCCUGUGGACAACCAGAGACUUACACCAGAGAAUGAAGGAGAAGGCCAUCCGAAAUAAGAAAGCCCAAUCGAACCCUCGUCACCAAGCGGAACCCUUUCCACGAAGGCCUGGGUCCAACAGAGAUACCCGACAAAGACAUUCAACACAUUCAACACGGGGUUUCGCAGUUACCUGACGAGGAGGAGAGCAGACCUGACAUAGUCUCGAUCAAGGAGGAGAAGCUGGGCGUGGACUUGGAUAGUAGUAAUGACACACAGCAUGUACUGCUAAUCAUUGAGAAGGGUACUGAGGUGUCAACUGUCAAAGUGGAUUACUGUGAAGAAGGGCCAUCCAGAAUGAGCUCCUCCACCAUGACGACAAGGCCGAGGGAGUGGAACAGAAGUAGAGAGGAUAGCGGCCACCAAUCCGAGCAGAGGAACGAGAGGAUAUCUUGUAUUUUCACACUGAUGAUAUGUUUCCAUUGAUGAACUCUGAAUGAUGGCUGUGAGAAACAUGGACUAACAUUGCGAUGCUGAUUUAAACGUUUCUUCAAUUGCCUUUGAAAUGGUACAAUUUUAACUCAAUGAAACAAAGCUGUUUGAUGACACAAUUACCCAUAGAAUGAGCAUUUUGAAAAAGGAACAGUCAUUCCAUAUAAGUUGUCACUAUAAUGGUCCCUCUUUAAAUGAACCACAACUUAUAAAGGCUUUACAUAGCAUACAUAACGUCCUCAUUAGCACUAGAGUGCAUUGCCAAAUGUGACAUAUAUCUCUUGUCAUUUCUCAAAAAAGCUGUGCUUUAUAAAGGGUCAUAAUUAUACCUAAAAGUAAAACGUUAUUAGUGUGGUUGCUGAAGAAAACUCAUGUCAGGCCAGAACUGAAACUGUCUUGAAAAAAUAUGUUCUCCAGGAAACUCACCUGUUAUAAUAAAGGCAGCAGGAAAGUUUAUGUACUAAUGUAUUUAUUACAUGUUUACUGAGACCAUGUGUUAUUGGCUCAGUUUACCCAUACGUGACAUUUACACCUCCAGGGACAGAAAACGCUCUACGCCAGGUAUGGCUGUUGCACGUCACAUUUUGCAAUGUUCCAUAAAUCAUUAUCUCAUUCCCAAGAAAAAAUACCUUACAAAGGGUUACAUAUUGCAAUGCUGAUGGUGACAUUACACAUGACAUUGGUUGUCUUGAGGAAAGCCCCCAAAUAGGGCAAGUAAUGUCACAUAUAAUGCCACCAUUUAUGGGUCUUUACCAUUUUAAGAAAAUGUAUUUAUUCUUAAAAUGGUAAAUUUGAUAUUCAAAUUUACAUUUUGAAAUAUGUGAGAAUA